rnacentral:rRNA from 1 species
UACGAAAGGGGGGCUAGCGUUGCUCGGAAUCACUGGGCGUAAAGCGCACGUAGGCGGAUCUUUAAGUCAGGGGUGAAAUCCUGGAGCUCAACUCCAGAACUGCCUUUAAUACUGCCAGUCUCGAGUCCGGAAGAGGUAAGUGGAACUCCUAGUGUAGAGGUGGAAUUCGUAGAUAUUAGGAAGAACACCAGUGGCGAAGGCGGCUUACUGGUCCGGUACUGACGCUGAGGUGCGAAAGCGUGGGGAGCAAACGGAUUGAGAACCGGUAC